rfam:Heligmosomoides polygyrus genome assembly, scaffold: HPBE_scaffold0003243
GCGCCGGUGGUGUAAGGCGAACAUCGCUGCCCGGAAAGCAGAAGAUGCGGGUUCGAGUCCAGCCUGGCGCA